UGUUUUCCUGCACAGCUUACCACUACCCUCCUUGGGGACAGAUGCUCCUCAGGCUGCAAGUCUCCUAUGCCACGAGGGAGCUGAGUGUUCUGAUGGGGUGAGCAUUAAUAAGCUAAGCUUCCCAUUAACACAGUCGUAUCCUCAGUGAAGUCACCAACACCCCUCAAGCCCACCACAGUUUAUCCAAAGCAAUGGAAAAAUGCUUUUAACUGCCAAGGAUGCUGUUAAUAGACCUGUGACAAACCCCUGCAACUCCACUGGACUUCUGGAAAGUGCUACAAAUAAAAAAUCUAUGGACUGGAAGGUCUGAAGAGGCCAUUGCAAUCAUCUGGUCUGAUCUCCUACAGAAACCAGGCUGAAGAAUUUCACCCAGCAAUUCCUGCAGUGGUCAAACUAGAAUGCAUCUUUGAGAGAGGCAUUUCAACUCAAUUUAAUACUUCCAGACACUGAAGUAUCCAUCACAUCCCCAGUUUUCAGCCCCACAGAGGACAAUUCCAAACUUAAGGUCACUACACAGACAAAUAUUAAAAACACAUGGACAUAGAACCAAAGGAUUUCAGUGAAUUUUAACUCAGAGCUGAAGCAUCUGUCAAUCUAUUCAAAAUGAUCAUAAUAACAGCAGGAAGCAACUGUGACCACCUGAAACCUGAGAUCCUGCUCCUGCCUUUGUUUCAAGAUAAUUUGCAUCAUCACUGAUCCUCACAGGAGGUGAGAGGCUUCAUACCAGCUAUGAACUGACAGCCCAGAGGAGUUUUCCAUCUAUUGACUCCUCUGUGAAAUCCUUUGAAAUAUGAACCUUCAUUCUACCCAGGAGAAAUUUUACAAUCUUUUCUCCAAUGCCUGAUGAAGGGUGUUUGUGCCUGAAAGCUUGCAAUUAAAGAUUUUUUUUUGCAGAAAUCUUGUUGGUCUAAUAAAAGAUAUCAUCUCUA